rnacentral:rRNA from 1 species
UACGAGGGAUCCUAGCGUUGUUCGGAGUCAUUGGGCGUAAAGCGGGUGUAGGCGGACUUAUAAGUCAGGUGUGAAAUCCCAGGGCUCAACCCUGGAAGUGCAUUUGAUACUGUAAGUCUUGAAUGUGGUAGAGGUUACUGGAAUUGCUGGUGUAGUGGUGAAAUACGUAGAUAUCAGCAGGAACACCGGAGGCGAAGGCGGGUAACUGGGCCAACAUUGACGCUGAGACCCGAAGCGUGGGAUCAAACAGG